CUAAUUCACAUGAACUAUUUUUAUUAGCUUCCAAUCCAGAUGACAUGGACCUCGAAACCACUUGCAUUUUGUUCACUUACCCUUCUUGUCACUGACCUUAGAUUUUCCAUUUUUAAUUGCAGGGAAUUUGCAGGAAUGUAUCUUUUUAAACAACUCUUUUUUUUUUUUAAUAGCUCGCUAUCCAUAUUAGCUAGAGAUCUACCAACAAGUAUGGUGUGUUCCUUUAUCACUGUUCUGAAAGGAAAACCUCAGAUUUUUUCCAAAUUCAUAAUAUUGAAUUUAUUUUAAAAUUACACGCAUUAUUACAAGUCCAUUACCUAAUUCAAAUGAACUAUUUUUAAUAGCCUCCAUUCCAGAUGGCAUGGACAUCCUAAAACCACUUGCUUUUGUUUACUGAGUACGCCUCUUAGUUUGCCAUUUAAAAUUUCAGUGAUUUUAUCAGAAUUGAUCCUUCAACACAAUCCUUUUUUAAUAGCUCACUAUCCUUAUUAGCUAGAGAUCUACAAAUAAGUAUGGUGUGUUCUUUUCCCUCUACUUUCACAGGGGUGUCAAACCAGUUCUACGGAGGGCCGAUUGUCUGCAGGGUGGUGCAUAUUGGGCUGGUGUCGCCUUGGGGGAGGUAAUCGGCUUAGAGGAUUUCCUUGUGCCACCACGUUCUGCAACGUCUCUGGCGGCACAGGUGACUUUGACCUGGCCAUGCAUAUGAGUUCAGAAUGGGAGUAUGCUGUCACAAUUGAAGGAAGGCAGGACACGAGGAGCAGAGGUAUAUCAGGGUAAAAUCCUUUUAAUUGUAACAACAAAACAAAAGGAGAGGCAAACCGAGAUGGAAAAUAUAAGGCACUGUUGACAAGGAAGGUAAGUGAACAAAAUGCAAGUGAUUUUAGAUGUCCAUGUCUUCUGGAUUGGAAGAAAAUGUGAAAUAGGUAGAAGAGUUGUAAUUAUGUGUGUAAUUUUUAAAUAAAUUCCAGGUUAUUAAUUUGGAAAGUAUCAGAG
ensembl:lncRNA